GUGGGGAAUUUUGGACAAUGGGCGCAAGCCUGAUCCAGCAAUGCCGCGUGCAGGAAGAAGGCCUUCGGGUUGUAAACUGCUUUUGUACGGAACGAAACGGUCCGGGUUAAUACCCUGGGCUAAUGACGGUACCGUAAGAAUAAGCACCGGCUAACUACGUGCCAGCAGCCGCGGUAAUACGUAGGGUGCAAGCGUUAAUCGGAAUUACUGGGCGUAAAGCGUGCGCAGGCGGUUUUGUAAGACAGGCGUGAAAUCCCCGGGCUCAACCUGGGAAUUGCGCUUGUGACUGCAAGGCUGGAGUGCGGCAGAGGGGGAUGGAAUUCCGCGUGUAGCAGUGAAAUGCGUAGAUAUGCGGAGGAACACCGAUGGCGAAGGCAAUCCCCUGGGCCUGUACUGACGCUCAUGCACGAAAGCGUGGGGAGCAAACAGGAUUAGAAACCCUAGUAGUCC
rnacentral:rRNA from 1 species